rnacentral:rRNA from 1 species
UACGUAGGGUGCAAGCGUUGUCCGGAAUUAUUGGGCGUAAAGAGCUCGUAGGCGGUCUGUCGCGUCGGCUGUGAAAGGCCUGGGCUCAACCCAGGAAAUGCGCCUGAGACUGACGGACUUGAGUCCGGGAGAGGAUGGUGGAACUCCCAGUGUAGAGGUGAAAUUCGUAGAUAUUGGGAAGAACACCCGUGGCGAAGGCGGCCAUCUGGACCGGUACUGACGCUAAGGCGCGACAGCGUGGGGAGCAAACAGG